rnacentral:rRNA from 1 species
GACAACGCUGGCGGCGUGCUUAACACAUGCAAGUCGAACGGGAGUACUUUGAAAGCUUGCUGAUAAGUACUUUAGUGGCGGACGGGUGAGUAACGCGUGAGGAGCUGUCUUAUGCAGGGGGACAACAGUUGGAAACGGCUGCUAAUACCCCAUAAGCCGAGAGGUAAAAGGAGCAAUCCGGCAGAGGAGGUACUCGCGUCCUAUCAGCUAGUAGGUUGGGUAACGGCCGACCUAGGCGAAGACGGGUAGCCGGCCUGAGAGGGCGAACGGCCACACUGGAACUGAGAUACGGUCCAGACUCCUACGGGAGGCAGCAGUGGGGAAUAUUGGGCAAUGGGGGCAACCCUGACCCAGCGACGCCGCGUGGGUGAAGAAAUCCUUCGGGAUGUAAAGCCCUGUUGUAUGGGAAGAGCAGAAGACGGUACCAUACGAGGAAGCCCCGGCAAACUACGUG